AUGGACUUGCCCUUUAGUUUACUGAUGGCUAUGAUGGUGCUCAGCUGCAAGUCCAUCUGCCUCUGGGCUGUGAUCUGCCUCAGGCCCACAGCGUGGGUAACAGGAGGGCCUUCAUACUCCUGACACAAAUGAGGAGAAUCUCUCCUUUUUCUUACUUGAAGGACAGACAUGACUUUGAUUUUCCAUCAUCAGGUGUUUCAUGGCAACCACUUCCAGAAGGUUCAAGCUAUCUUCCUUUUCCAUGAGAUGAUGCAGCAGACCUUCAACCUCUUCAGCACAAAGGACUCAUCUGAUACUUGGGAUGCGACCCUUUUAGACAAAUUCUACACUGAACUUUACCAGCAGCUGAAUGACCUGGAAGCCUGUGUGAUGUAGAAGGUUGGAGUGGAAGAGACUCCCCUGAGGAAUGUGGACUCCAUCCUGGCUGUGAGAAAAUACUUUCAAAGAAUCACUCUUUAUCUGACAAAGAAGAAGUAUAGCCCUUGUUCCUGGGAGGCUGUCAGAGCAGAAAUCAUGAGAUCCUUCUCUUUAUGAACGAACUUGCAGGAAAGAUUAAGGAGGAAGGAAUGA
rnacentral:lncRNA from 1 species